rfam:Dipodomys ordii contig_11295, whole genome shotgun sequence.
GGGAAUGUGGCUCGGUGGUAGAGUGCUUGCCUACCAUGCAUGAAGCCCUGGGUUCGAUUCCUCAGCACCA